CGUUUGAUUCUAUUUUGUUGGUUUCUAGGAUCGACGUAAUGAUUAAUAGGGAUAGUUGGGGGCAUUAGUAUUCAAUUGUCAGAGGUGAAAUUCUUGGAUUUAUUGAAGACUAACUACUGCGAAAGCAUUUGCCAAGGAUGUUUUCAUUAAUCAAGAACGAAAGUUAGGGGAUCGAAGACGAUCAGAUACCGUCGUAGUCUUAACCAUAAACUAUGCCGACUAGGGAUCGGAUGAUGUUAAUUUUUUAAUGACUCAUUCGGCGCCUUACGGGAAACCAAAGUGUUUGGGUUCCGGGGGGAGUAUGGUCGCAAGGCUGAAACUUAAAGGAAUUGACGGAAGGGCACCACCAGGGGUGGAGCCUGCGGCUUAAUUUGACUCAACACGGGGAAA
rnacentral:rRNA from 1 species